CACGGGGCGGCAGGGUGCGGCGCGUGGGCCAGAGAAGUCCAGGGCUCAGAAGAGUUAGCGGGAAGUCCAGACCCUUCUGCUAAUAUGCAUUGUUUGGAUAGUAAAGACAAAAGCUUUGCAAGGCCUCUUCUACAGCUGCCACUAUUACCUCCAGGCCAAUGGAGAAUACAUUGGAAAAAAUUAAUUUUACUGAGCAGUUAGAAUCUUCCUAAUUAGACACAGAAGAAAAACUCUAUACGCUCAGAGACCAUCUCUUGGUACCAAAACUCUGUCAAAGCCUUACCAUUUUCUUCAUUUGACAGACGGAGCACUCCACAGCUCAGAAAUAAUAAGGACAUUUGUUUCAAAUACCCCAGAAUCUACGGAGAGGAGAACCCCUCCCCACCACUCUUUCAGCAACAUUUUAGAACCAUGCCCGCACCCCGCACUUUGCCUAAUGGUAUUGCCAGUGGUUUAAUUUAUCUCACCCCAUAAAACACCGGAAAAUGAAAAUAGCACCAGUACUGAAAUGCACAGCAGUUGCUCCUUGCACAGCUCACAAGCUGGACAAAAAGAGCCAGGAUGGUGGAGAAGUGCAAGAGAGCACCAGCAGGGUCACCAGACAGGCAGUGAAUAAGCAAAACCAGACUUGAGCCCUUUCAAAUCAGCAAGACUGGGAUGGUGACUAGAGAUGAAAACUGAACAGAGAAACAGUUACCUGCCCC